ACAGGCCAAUCCCCUGGAUAAGACAAUGCUGCAACUGGCUGGGCUAACCUCCUUGUUCAUUGCAUCAAAAUAUGAGGAACCAACUCCCAAACCCAUUGCUAAUUUUGUGUCUUCAUCCAUACACCAUAUCCCAGCUGAUAAGAUCAAAGAUAUGGAACUUCAGAUUCUUGUUGCAUUGGAGUUUAAAGUUGGGACAGCAACUUCUCUGCAGUUUUUAUGGAGAGCAUCAAGAGUAAU